CUGCCAUGAGGGGCACGGGGGUCUCUGGAUGACAGCACUUGCACGGCCACCAGGAUGCCGCCAGGUGUUUUGCAGCGUUGGCUGCUCAGAUCGGCAGUUUCGUGAAAUGGGCCUCACCAGUGUCAUGUUACAGAGAUUCCAUUUGCAACACGGAAUCUUGGCAUGCAGACCCCCAGAAUCCCUCACACACGGGUGCCCCGGAUGGCAAGUUGGGCCCAGGAGUGCAUCUCCUGCAGGUGAGCCCUCCCAGCCGGCCCCUGGCCCACCCGAGAGAGGAACGUUCUGGCGAUGGACAGACUCGUGUCUGAUCACAACCCUCGGCUGCCAGCCCCUCAGUGUGCGGCCCCGGAAGCCCAUCCGCCUCCUAAUCUCCACUUUCAUCUCAGCACGGACGUGCUAACCUUAGGUGAGCAAUACAGUCUUAGCUUGCAUCUGAUCCCUGUUCUAAGCUCCUGGUGGGAGGUGUGCGGGGUCAUGAAUGGUGCCAGGCUCUCUGAAAAGCUUUGGUGGCCUCAUGGGAUUCAAAAGCAAACGGAAGAAAAGCAGGUGUCAGGCUGGUGUGACACAGACCGAGGCACUGCUGGGGUGCCAACAUCCCAUAACAGAGUGGUGGUUCAGUCCUGGCUGCUCCACUUCUGAUCCAGCUCCCUGCUAAUGUGCCUGAGAAAGCAGCAGAAGAUGGCCCAAGUCCCUGGGUUCCUGCACCCAUGUGGGAGACCCAGAUGAAGUUCCUGGCUCCUGGCUUCUGCCUGGCCCAGAGCUGGCUGUUGCUGCCAUCUGGAGAGCAAACCAGCAGAUGGAAGAUCUCUCCCUCCCUCCCUUCCUCUUCCUCUCCCUGUCUCUGUCACUCUGCUUGUUGAUGCCCAAUAUGAGGUGCACCAGGGAAGGGCAUGGAGGGGUCUUGUGGUUGAGUCUUUCUGGUGCACCCAGUUCCCGUUGGCCUCCUCCUGACCACACAUCUUUGUCUCUGAGCGGCUGGGACUCUGUCCCCCGAGGGUCCUAGAGGGCAGGGCUACAGUGUAGCCAUGUGUCACUCCCCAGCACGGUGUGGGCCAGAGCCCACAGCAGAAACAGAGACUGGAGCUGGAAAGUGGUCACCUCGUCCACCCAGCCAGGGCUGGCUGUUGAUGCUGCCGUUUCGGCCACCCUUUCCCCAAGAGGCCGGGACCUUCUUCCAGGCCACAGAGUGCGGAAUUGGUGGAGAAGCUUCUAGACCCCAGCCAUUCUGUCUCCCCAAACCUGUUUUUCUUUCUGGUACUCCACACGGUGGCAUUUGGUCUUCCCAGUCUCUGACUUAUUUACAUGUUGAGGGAGAGGGGGUUGACUUUUUUUUUUUUUUAUAUUUUUUUUUUUUUUUGUCAUUCGACUCUUAAUUCAUACUAUAACUUAUACUCAAAAAA
rnacentral:lncRNA from 1 species